ACAGAUAACUCGCUGCAACGUAACAUCACUUCAGGAAGACAAGAAAAUUGGUGAAUAAAGAGACAACUAAGUGAGGAUCGCAAUUUUUCAAACAAAUAGCAACUAUUUCUGCCCGGAGUAGUAAACAAAAGAAGAAUCGAAACACACA
rnacentral:lncRNA from 13 species